GACUGGGAUAACUCCGGGAAACCGGGGCUAAUACCGGAUGGUUGUUUGAACCGCAUGGUUCAAACAUAAAAGGUGGCUUCGGCUACCACUUACAGAUGGACCCGCGGCGCAUUAGCUAGUUGGUGAGGUAACGGCUCACCAAGGCAACGAUGCGUAGCCGACCUGAGAGGGUGAUCGGCCACACUGGGACUGAGACACGGCCCAGACUCCUACGGGAGGCAGCAGUAGGGAAUCUUCCGCAAUGGACGAAAGUCUGACGGAGCAACGCCGCGUGAGUGAUGAAGGUUUUCGGAUCGUAAAGCUCUGUUGUUAGGGAAGAACAAGUACCGUUCGAAUAGGGCGGUACCUUGACGGUACCUAACCAGAAAGCCACGGCUAACUACGUGCCAGCAGCCGCGGUAAUACGUAGGUGGCAAGCGUUGUCCGGAAUUAUUGGGCGUAAAGGGCUCGCAGGCGGUUUCUUAAGUCUGAUGUGAAAGCCCCCGGCUCAACCGGGGAGGGUCAUUGGAAACUGGGGAACUUGAGUGCAGAAGAGGAGAGUGGAAUUCCACGUGUAGCGGUGAAAUGCGUAGAGAUGUGGAGGAACACCAGUGGCGAAGGGCGACUCUCUGGUCUGUAACUGACGCUGAGGAGCGAAAAGCGUGGGGGAGCGAAACAGGAUUUAGAUACCCCUGGUAGUCCCACGCCGUAAAACGAUGAGUGCUAAAGUGUUAGGGGGGUUUCCCGCCCCCUUUAGUGCCUGCAGGCUAACGGCAUUAAAGCACUCCCGCCUGGGGGAGUAACGGUCCGCAAGAACUGAAACUCCAAAGGGAAUUGACCGGGGGCCCGCAACAAGCCGGUGGAGCCAUGUGGUUUAAUUCGAAGCCAACGCGAAGAAAACCUUACCCAGGUCUUGAACAUCCCCUCUGACAAUCCCCUAGAGAUAGGACGGUCCCCCUUCCGGGGGCCAGAGUGACAGGUGGUGCCCAUGGUUGUCGUCCCAGCUCGUGUUCCGUGAGAUGUUGGGUUAAAAGUCCCGCAACCGAGCGCCAACCCCUUGAUCCUUAGUUGCCCCAGCAUUUCAGUUGGGCCACUCUAAGGUGGACUGCCCCGGUGACCAAACCGGGAGGGAAAGGUGGGGGGAUGACGUCCAAAAUCCAAUCCAUGCCCCCCUUAUGACCUGGGGCUACCACCACGUGCCUAC
rnacentral:rRNA from 1 species